GCCGCGGUAGCUCAGUGGUAGAGCGUCGCCUUGAAGAGGCGAGCGUCGAUGGUUCGAUUCCGUCCCGCGGCA
rnacentral:tRNA from 1 species